rnacentral:rRNA from 1 species
UACGUAGGCAGCGAGCGUUGUUCGGAGUUACUGGGCGUAAAGCGUGCGUAGGCGGUGCUCCAAGUCUGUUGUGAAAUCCCUCAGCUUAACUGGGGAACUGCGUCUGAGACUGGCAGGCUCGAGUGCAGGAGAGGAACGCGGAAUUCCAGGUGUAGCGGUGAAAUGCGUAGAUAUCGGGAGGAACACCAGUGGCGAAGGCGACUUCCUGGCCUGUUCUUGACGCUGAGGCGCGAAAGCUAGGGUAGCAAACGGG